GACGAACGCUGGCGGCGUGCCUAAUACAUGCAAGUAGAACGCUGAAGAGAGGAGCUUGCUCUUCUUGGAUGAGUUGCGAAAGGGUGAGUAACGCGUAGGUAACCUGCCUUGUAGCGGGGGAUAACUAUUGGAAACGAUAGCUAAUACCGCAUAACAAUGGAUGACACAUGUCCUUUAUUUGAAAGGGGCAAUUGCUCCACUACAAGAUGGACCUGCGUUGUAUUAGCUAGUAGGUGAGGUAAUGGCUCACCUAGGCGACGAUACAUAGCCGACCUGAGAGGGUGAUCGGCCACACUGGGACUGAGACACGGCCCAGACUCCUACGGGAGGCAGCAGUAGGGAAUCUUCGGCAAUGGGGGCAACCCUGACCGAGCAACGCCGCGUGAGUGAAGAAGGUUGUCGGAUCGUAAAGCUCUGUUGUAAGUCAAGAACGGGUGUGAGAGUGGAAAGUUCACACUGUGACGGUAGCUUACCAGAAAGGGACGGCUAACUACGUG
rnacentral:rRNA from 1 species